rnacentral:rRNA from 1 species
CAGCCGCCACGGUAAUACGUAGGGUCCGAGCGUUGUCCGGAAUUAUUGGGCGUAAAGGGCUCGUAGGCGGUUUGUUGCGUCGGGAGUGAAAACCCAGGGCUUAACUUUGGGCUUGCUUUCGAUACGGGCAGACUUGAGGCAUUGAGGGGAGAACGGAAUUCCUGGUGUAGCGGUGAAAUGCGCAGAUAUCAGGAGGAACACCGAUGGCGAAGGCAGAUCUCUGGGCCGUAACUGACGCUGAGGAGCGAAAGCGUGGGGAGCGAACAGGAUUAGAUACCCCCGUAGUCCCUGUCUCUUAUAC